AGCAAGCAAAUCUCUGAUCCAUCACACUCGUAUGUGAACUUUAGUAUGUUGCCAGUUACAAGUGCUAAGCUGCUAUUUGUAACGUUCUCCAACUGAGAGAAAAUAAACCUGAUACGCGAGCAGUUUCCAUGAAGAGACGUCUUGAGUUCAGUGACGAAACUGGUGUCGUUAACAACCGCAAUUACGGUGGACGAGCCCUCCAGCACUUUUUGGCAACCUGGAGAACAUAGGAGCAAAUGGUUUGCUCUUGACACCUAUACAACAACCGGGACGUUGGCAAACACCUUUUUUUUUUGUCUUCCCAUCCUGGAGUUAAAUAUAUAGAAACGGCACUGAAAGAAAGAUUUGCACUAAACAUCGACCGAUAAAAAGACAUGCAUAUAUGUAAUAAGCACUGAACCAUUCGGCUAAGCCUUUUGUUUAUGCAAUUAUGGCAAUCUAAA